AGAGUUUGAUCCUGGCUCAGGACGAACGCUGGCGGCGUGCCUAAUACAUGCAAGUCGAGCGGACUUAAAAAGCUUGCUUUUUAAGUUAGCGGCGGACGGGUGAGUAACACGUGGGCAACCUGCCUGUAAGACUGGGAUAACUUCGGGAAACCGGAGCUAAUACCGGAUAAUCCUUUUCUACUCAUGUAGGAAAGCUGAAAGACGGUUUACGCUGUCACUUACAGAUGGGCCCGCGGCGCAUUAGCUAGUUGGUGAGGUAACGGCUCACCAAGGCGACGAUGCGUAGCCGACCUGAGAGGGUGAUCGGCCACACUGGGACUGAGACACGGCCCAGACUCCUACGGGAGGCAGCAGUAGGGAAUCUUCCGCAAUGGACGAAAGUCUGACGGAGCAACGCCGCGUGAGUGAUGAAGGUUUUCGGAUCGUAAAACUCUGUUGUUAGGGAAGAACAAGUACGAGAGUAACUGCUCGUACCUUGACGGUACCUAACCAGAAAGCCACGGCUAACUACGUGCCAGCAGCCGCGGUAAUACGUAGGUGGCAAGCGUUGUCCGGAAUUAUUGGGCGUAAAGCGCGCGCAGGCGGUCCUUUAAGUCUGAUGUGAAAGCCCACGGCCCAACCGUGGAGGGUCAUUGGAAACUGGGGGACUUGAGUGCAGAAGAGAAGAGUGGAAUUCCACGUGUAGCGGUGAAAUGCGUAGAGAUGUGGAGGAACACCAGUGGCGAAGGCGACCCUUUGGUCUGUAACUGA
rnacentral:rRNA from 1 species